rnacentral:rRNA from 1 species
AUGCGUCCCUAUGACUUAUUUGCUUCUACCUUGCAUUACAUGAUACCAUCAAUUAAGGUAGAUUUGAGAAAGUAUUUGCUUGGAUAUGAUGAUAUAUACCAUGUUCAUGGCAUUGCUCACAUUUGUUACGAUUACACUUAUUUUCCUCAUGCUAGACCCAUGCUUAAUGAAACAUGUCAUUCUCAUGUUAGUCUGGAGCUUAAUGAUUCAUAUCAUCUUCAUGCUAGCAUUGAGCUUACUGAUUUCUACCAUUCUAAACAUGUGCUUUAUAGCUAUGCUUAUGUAAUUGGGUACUCUAUUGAUGAUUUAGAGGGCAUCUACCCUAUCACUUGUAGUUGUUGUUUGUGUGAGUCCUAUUUCAGGUUUUUGCUUGUGCACGAAUCAAUACAUGCUGACCAGGUUCGAGGUGACAUCCCUUGGGAUCCUAGUGGAGUCAGAGCAUGGCGAUGA